rnacentral:rRNA from 1 species
UGGGGAAUAUUGGACAAUGGGGGGAACCCUGAUCCAGCCAUGCCGCGUGUGUGAAGAAGGCCUUAUGGUUGUAAAGCACUUUAAGCGAGGAGGAGGCUACUAGUAUUAAUACUACUGGAUAGUGGACGUUACUCGCAGAAUAAGCACCGGCUAACUCUGUGCCAGCAGCCGCGGUAAUACAGAGGGUGCGAGCGUUAAUCGGAUUUACUGGGCGUAAAGCGUGCGUAGGCGGCCAUUUAAGUCAAAUGUGAAAUCCCGAGCUUAACUUGGGAAUUGCAUUCGAUACUGGAUGGCUAGAGUAUGGGAGAGGAUGGUAGAAUUCCAGGUGUAGCGGUGAAAUGCGUAGAGAUCUGGAGGAAUACCGAUGGCGAAGGCAGCCAUCUGGCCUAAUACUGACGCUGAGGUACGAAAGCAUGGGGAGCAAACAGGAUUAGAUACCCUGGUAGUCCAUGCCGUAAACGAUGUCUACUAGCCGUUGGGGCCUUUGAGGCUUUAGUGGCGCAGCUAACGCGAUAAGUAGACCGCCUGGGGAGU